CGUGCCAGCAGCCGCGGUAAUACGUAUGGGGCAAGCGUGUUCCGGAUUUACUGGGCGUAAAGGGCGCGUAGGCGGUUUGUUAAGUCGAAGGUGAAAUCCUCGGGCUCAACUCGAGAAUUGCCUUCGAUACUGGCAAACUAGAGUGGCGGAGAGGAAAGCGGAACUCUUGGUGUAACGGUGGAAUGUGUAGAUAUCAAGAGGAACACCGGUGGCGAAGGCGGCUUUCUGGACGCACACUGACGCUCAGGCGCGAAAGCGUGGGUAGCAAACAGGAUUAGAUACCCUGGUAGUCCACGCCAUAAACGAUGGGUACUAGGUGUCGGGGGUAUCGACCCCUCCGGUGCCGCAGUUAACGCACUAAGUACCCCGCCUGGGGAUUAUGGUCGCAAGGCUGAAACUCAAAGGAAUUGACGGGGCCCCGCACAAGCGGUGGAGCAUGUGGUUUAAUUCGACGCAACGCGAAGAACCUUACCUGGGCUUGACAUGCUUGGGACAGCGCUGGAAACAGCGUCUCUCCUUCGGGAGCCCUUGCACAGGUGCUGCAUGGCUGUCGUCAGCUCGUGUCGUGAGAUGUUGGGUUAAGUCCCGCAACGAGCGCAACCCUCGUUACUAGUUGCCAUCAGUUCGGCUGGGCACUCUAGUGAGACUGCCGGUGAUAAACCGGAGGAAGGUGAGGAUGAUGUCAAGUCAUCAUGGCCCUUACGCCCAGGGCUACACACGUGCUACAAUGGUCGGCACAAAGGGUCGCUAAGCCGCGAGGUGGAGCUAAUCCCAAAAAGCCGGCCUCAGUUCGGAUUGGAGUCUGCAACCCGACUCCAUGAAGGCGGAAUCGCUAGUA
rnacentral:rRNA from 1 species